AUGGGAAGCAAGCAAGCAGAGGAGAUCAAGAAUCUCCUUCUCAAGAUAAUAAUUCCCUUGGCUUUUCCCCUGGCAGGUUCUUUUAUCUGCGGCCUCAUAGCAGAUAGAGCAAUCAGGCACAGUGACCUAGACUCAUCUGAUAACUCAAUCCAGUUGGAUCAAUCAUCGUCAGACGGUUUGAGAUUGAUUCAAGGAGAGGAGGGAGGAGGAGAAAUGGAGUCCCCGAACCGGGCGCCGCGGAAGCUGGUGCAAGCGGAGACCCCCUACAGCACCGGCAGGGUCGUCGGCGGUGGACAUGCGAAGCAGGCUUCUCUCACUGAAGAAAUCAUGGUGGCGCAGGACACCGAGAGCUCAUCGGAAGUUUCAGUCAACAACCAGAGGCUCCAGGACGUUCAGGGGACGCCCGCCGGCGCCGAAGAGGUCGGGAGCCUGAAGCGCGUGGUGUCGGCCCUCGAAGAGCGGGCCGCCGGCAUCGAGAAGCGGUUCCAGGACUACUGUGACGCGAAGGAGCAGGAGGCGACGUACCAGAAGAUGCAGAUCAUGUGCCUGGGGAUGAAGCUGGAGCUGCUAGAGUCCCAGAACCAGCGGCUUGAGGCGGCCGCCACGGAGAUCCGGGCCGCCGCCGAAGAGUUCGCCGUGAUGCGGGCGGGCCUCGACGCGCUGCAGAGCAAGUUCAGGAAGGUCGCCAAGAAGAGCAGGCAAGAGUUCGACGCCAUUGAUGGGAGGAUCCUGGCCUUGGAUGCCCGGGAGGCAGAGAUGGCGGCGAGGUGCCGAGGCUUUGAGCAGCUCAUGGCGGAGAUGAAGGAGCUGGUUUCGCAGCUGCAGAAGGGGAAAGGAACAGACAGUGAGAGCGUGGAGGUCGCCGUGGAGAGGAGCAUGCGGAAGCUGUCGAGCAGCAAGGACCUGCUGGACGGGAUGGGGGUGCUCCGGGACCGGUGGGCGGCGGACAUGGAGGAGCUCAUCUACCUCGGCUGGAUCACGGCGUGGCUGCAGCACGACCUCCUGGUCAGCGACGGCGAGGGCGGCGCCGCCAAGGGCCCGGCGGCGAUUGGGGACGACGACGACGAUGGCACCCACCCGACGGCGGAGGAGCAGCGCAAGAAGGGGGAGAAGAUGGUGGCGGUGGCCGCGCCGAUCAACGAGGUGGAGCUCCGCAAGACGUCGUCCAACGCGUCGUCGUGCGCCGCGGGAGAGGAGUCGUGCAUGGGGCUGGCGGGCUGCAGGACGGGAAUCGGACGCCCGAGAUUGCUCCGCAAGAUCAGAGGGUGGGCCAAGGGAAAGGGUCCAAGCAAGAGCAGUGAGUGA
rnacentral:rRNA from 1 species